rnacentral:rRNA from 1 species
AACGAACGCUGGCGGCAGGCCUAACACAUGCAAGUCGAGCGAGCAUUUCGGUGCUAGCGGCGGACGGGUGAGUAACGCGUGGGAACGUGCCCUUUUCUGCGGAAUAGUCCUGGGAAACUGGGGGUAAUACCGCAUACGCCCUUUUGGGGAAAGAUUUAUCGGAGAAGGAUCGGCCCGCGUUGGAUUAGGUAGUUGGUGGGGUAAUGGCCCACCAAGCCGACGAUCCAUAGCUGGUUUGAGAGGAUGAUCAGCCACACUGGGACUGAGACACGGCCCAGACUCCUACGGGAGGCAGCAGUGGGGAAUCUUAGACAAUGGGGGCAACCCUGAUCUAGCCAUGCCGCGUGAGUGAUGAAGGCCUUAGGGUUGUAAAGCUCUUUCAGCUGGGAAGAUAAUGACGGUACCAGCAGAAGAAGCCCCAGCUAACUCCGUG